CACGUAGGGCGCAAGCGUUGUCCGGAAUUAUUGGGCGUAAAGAGCUCGUAGGCGGCCUGUUGCGUCCGCUGUGAAAUCCCGGGGCUCAACCCCGGGCCUGCAGUGGAUACGGGCUGGCUGGAGGCAGGCAGGGGAGAACGGAAUUCCCGGUGUAGCGGUGGAAUGCGUAGAGAUCGGGAAGAACAUCAGUGGCGAAGGCGGCCUGCUGGGCUGUUGCUGACGCUGAGGCGCGACAGCGUGGGGAGCAAGCAGG
rnacentral:rRNA from 1 species